CGGCCGCGUCGACCAGGUGGUGCAUGGUUGUCGUCAGCUCGUGUCGUGAGAUGUUGGGUUAAGUCCCGCAACGAGCGCAACCCUUGUCCCGUGUUGCCAGCACGUUGUGGUGGGGACUCGCGGGAGACUGCCGGGGUCAACUCGGAGGAAGGUGGGGAUGACGUCAAAUCAUCAUGCCCCUUAUGUCUUGGGCUCCACGCAUGCUACAAUGGCCGGUACAGAGGGCUGCGAUACCGUGAGGUGGAGCGAAUCCCUUAAAGCCGGUCUCAGUUCGGAUCGGUGUCUGCAACUCGACACCGUGAAGUUGGAGUCGCUAGUAAUCGCAGAUCAGCAACGCUGCGGUGAAUACGUUCUCGGGCCUUGUACGUCGACGCGGCC
rnacentral:rRNA from 1 species